rnacentral:lncRNA from 1 species
UGAGGAAAGGACCUUCGAGGUUUAACGGGUCUGAAUUGAUUUUAGAAUGAUGUUGGUUCGGAUUUUUGAAUGUAUCAUUAUACGUAUAUUGAUUCAAGAAAUACAAUUUAGCAGUAACAAAUAGCUUCCACUUGAAGGUUGAAGCUGGUUUGGGUCUGUUUGUCGUCCACAUUGCUUCCAACUACUAUAUCUGGACGGGAAACUAACUACUCAACAAAAACCAAAAAUAGCACAAUUUCAUC